rfam:Felis catus isolate Cinnamon breed Abyssinian chromosome B2, whole genome shotgun sequence.
UCAAAGGCUCUUUUCAGAGCCAUCCACAUUUUCACAUGAAAGGCU